rnacentral:rRNA from 1 species
CGGGAUUCUUUCCCUCCAAUGAGCCCCCCGGGCCACCCCCGUCCGAUGCGCACGGGGAUUAUAAUUGGCCGUCCCCCACCCGCGGCUAACGUAGCGAAAGUUCCGCUACCCGCUUCCUUUCCGGAUCAAACCGCGGGCCCUAAGCCCCCCCCAACGACCCGCCCAUUUCCGAUCGGUAGUGGCGGGUAAACGCCCCCCAACCCAACGAUCUGUACUGGUCUGAGAGGCGACCCCCCCCACUGGACUGAGCCACGGCCCCGACUUCUCGGGGGGCACCAGUGGGAAUUUUGACAAUGGGAAAGCCUAUCCAGCCAUUCCGGUCAGGACGAAGGCCUUGGGUUUAAACUCUUU